rnacentral:lncRNA from 7 species
CCCCUGUCGGCCCAGGCUGCUGCUGGUGGGGUGGGGUGGGGAGAGGGGGGGGUGUGGGUGGACAGAGGUGCGUGGUGAAGAGUCGGAAGGAGAUAAUUAAAGAGGGAGAUGAUGAGGGUUGGAAAAAGAAUGGGAAAGUGCGGUGAGCGAAGAGGAGAAAAAAAGAAAAAAAAGAAUUUAAAAUUAAAAAAAAAAAAGAAAAAAAAAGAAAAAAAACCCACAAAUAAGUAAUUAAUAAAUAAGCACUAAAAUAAAACCGGAGAACUUUAAGCCUAAAUGAUAAAAAUGAUAAGAAUAAGAAAUAAAAUAAACAAAAAAAUUAAAAUAAUGUUGAAAAAAAAAAUGAAAAGGGGAAGAAAAAAAAAAUAGAGUGAGUGCACUACGAGACCGUGGGAGGGAGGCUGGGGUUUGCCCCGCCGAGAAGAGCCUCGGCACCUGCCCACGAGCACAGGGGGUCCCGCCGCCCCGCACCUCUGCCCCGUGCGGCGCUGGGCCGCGGGGCGCUGCGAGCAGAGCGCGGCCUGGGGGUGACCGCUGGGGGCGGGGGGUGCCCGGGGGCGGACAAAGGCUGUGCUGGGCACCGUCCUGGGGAGAGGCAGAGCGCGGCCCUCCGCACACAGCCGCGCACACGCACACACACACACACGCACGCUCUCCCGCACGCGUGCGGGCGCGCACCCCCCGCGGUCUCCACGCGUAGCCCAUCCCAGCUCAGCGCAAGGACUCGUGCAGCAUUGGUUCGUUUCGAGGAGGGACAGCUGCAGUGAGACUCGGAGCCCUGCUCACACAGAUGCUUUCUAGUGAUGCAGCACCGCUGUAAGCGAUGUGUGGUUACAAGAUGUGAAGGUGUUUAGGAAAAAAAAAAAAAACUGUUUCCAAGUCAGGUGGAUUCCUG